AUGGCUGAGGCGUGGGUGUCGGAGGGUGUGCCCCUGAGGUUUCUGUCCCAGUAAUGUUCACGCAUGCCCGGUGGUGGCCUUUGGGGUCACUGCCCCUCUCCCCGCCCCAGGUGCGCGGGGCUGGGAUAUGAGCCAGUCACUGCCUUUGUGCCUUUCCUUCUCUCUCCGCUGCCGGGUUCAACCAGCGGACAGUGGGGGAACGGCGGGCAGGUCGGUGGAGUUAGAUGACAGUAAAGGUGGGCCGGCUCUGUGUGAUAAGAUUCCAACUGGGUCCGACCGCUUCCGUCCGCUGGCGCCGGGUCCCCCAGACGUCUGCGGCGAGCGUUGGAACUGACCAUCAACCUGGGAUUUCUAAGGAAUAACAGAUAACUCUGAGACGAGGCUUCACCAUGUUGCCAAGUAUGGUCUUGAUUGCCUGGGAUCAAGGAAUCCACCCGCCCUCAGGCUCCCAAUGUUCGAGAAUUAAAGGCGUGAGCCACUGCUCCUGACAGCA